GACUACAGGGGUAUCUAAUCCUGUUUGAUCCCCACGCUUUCGUGCCUGAGCGUCAGUUUUAGGUUAGUAAGCUGCCUUCGCAAUUGGUGUUCUGUAGCAUAUCUAUGCAUUUCACCGCUACAUGCUACAUUCCGCCUACUUCAACUAAACUCUAGACUAACAGUAUCAACGGCAAUUCCCCGGUUGAGCCGGGGGAUUUCACCACUGACUUAUUAAUCCGCCUGCGCACCCUUUAAACCCAAUAAAUCCGGAUAACGCUUGCACCCUCCGUAUUACCGCGGCUGCUGGCACGGAGUUAGCCGGUGCUUAUUCUUACGGUACCGUCAGCUCCGGACACGUCCGAAGGUUUCUUCCCGUAUAAAAGCAGUUUACAACCCAUAGGGCCGUCAUCCUGCACGCGGCAUGGCUGGUUCAGGCUUGCGCCCAUUGACCAAUAUUCCUCACUGCAGCCCCCCGUAGG
rnacentral:rRNA from 1 species